GAUGAACGCUGGCGGCGUGCCUAAUACAUGCAAGUCGAACGGACAGACGAGGAGCCUGCUCCUCGCACGUUAGCGGCGGACGGGAGAGUAACACGUGUAUAACCUACCUAUAAUACUGGUAUAACUUCGGAAAACCGGAGCUAAUACCGGAUAAUAUAUUGAACCGCAGGGUUCAAUAGUGAAAUACGGUUUUUCUGUCACUUAUAGAUGGAUCCGCGCCGCAUUAGGUAGUUGGUAAGGUAACAGCUUACCAAGGCAACGAUGCGUAUACGAACUGAGAGGGUGAUCGGCCACACUGGAACGGAGACACGGUCCAGACUCCUAAGGGAGGCAGCAGUAGGGAAUCUUCCGCAGUGGGCGAAAGCCUGACGGAGCAACGGCGAGUGAGUGAUGAAGGUCUUCGGAUCGUAAAACUCUGUUAUUAGGGAAAAACAAAUGUGUAAGUAAAUAUGCACGUCUUGACGGUACCUAAUCAGAAAGCCACGGCUAACUACGUG
rnacentral:rRNA from 1 species